GACACUUCAAAAAAUGGAGUGUUACCUUUCCAAUGAUGUCAGGCACACCCGAGUGUCAAAGUAUAUGGGAGCUGUACCACUUUUAAUUUGGGUAUGACGUUUAAACCAAAAAGCAUGGAAUUCCAAGCGUUUCUUAAGAGGUUAA